UACGGAGGGUGCAAGCGUUGUCCGGAUUUAUUGGGUUUAAAGGGUGCGUAGGCGGCCCAUUAAGUCAGUGGUGAAAGCCCGGGGCUCAACCCCGGAACCGCCAUUGAUACUGGUGGGCUUGAGUAUGGACGAGGUUGGCGGAAUUGAGGGUGUAGCGGUGAAAUGCAUAGAUACCGUCCAGAACCCCAAUUGCGUAGGCAGCUGCCUAGGCUACAUCUGACACUGAGGCACGAAAGCGUGGGGAGCGAACAGG
rnacentral:rRNA from 1 species